GGUUUUCGAAAACAUUCGUGCAACGGGAAAAACUGUUGGCAGACGAGAAUAAUUUAUUCUUUGAAUAAUAAAAGAGAAUCAAAUUUCUGCAUUCACCUCAAAGAUCUCGAGUUGUAUAAAAGGCUGCAUAAAAACGUAAACUGCACCACAGUGCUUGAGGAAUUAAAUCGAGUGUCACCAUGAAGAUCGUAUCAGUUAUUUUCGUGCUGCUUCUGAGUAUCCUUGCUCUGUACCAAGCUGGUGUUUGUGAGGCCUCGCCCUAUCGUAGAGGUGGAUCAUGGGGACAACGUGGCGGUGGAGGCUAUCAAUGGGGCGGUAAAGGAGGCGGUUACCACUGGGGCGGUGGUCAUCAAUGGCACCAUGGAGGAGGUUGGCAUCGCGGAUAAAAAGGACUCGAAAUUUAGAUUCCAGAAGACCGCACCAAUAUUCGUUAACCCCUAAACGAGCUUAAAGAAAAAAUGGAACGAACUAUCGCUAAUUGUCCGAAUGAAACUUUGAAUUAUUAACAAACAAUUUUUAUAAUUACUAAUGUGAAGGGAGAAAUUAUUCUCAUUUUGUAUUUUUCGGAAUAAAAACAUUUUCAUUUUA